AUUGAACGCUGGCGGCAUGCCUUACACAUGCAAGUCGAACGGCAGCAUAGGAGCUUGCUCCUGAUGGCGAGUGGCGAACGGGUGAGUAAUAUAUCGGAACGUGCCCUAGAGUGGGGGAUAACUAGUCGAAAGACUAGCUAAUACCGCAUACGAUCUACGGAUGGAAGUGGGGGCUCGCAAGACCUCAUGCUCCUGGAGCGGCCGAUAUCUGAUUAGCUAGUUGGUGGGGGAAAAGCUAACCAAGGCGACGAUCAGUAGCUGGUCUGAGAGGACGACCAGCCACACUGGGACUGAGACACGGCCCAGACUCCUACGGGAGGCAGCAGUGGGGAAUUUUGGACAAUGGGGGCAACCCUGAUCCAGCAAUGCCGCGUGAGUGAAGAAGGCCUUCGGGUUGUAAAGCUCUUUUGUCAGGGAAGAAACGGUUCUGGAUAAUACCUGGGACUAAUGACGGUACCUGAAGAAUAAGCACCGGCUAACUACGUGCCAGCCGCCGCCGUAAGAC
rnacentral:rRNA from 1 species